rnacentral:rRNA from 1 species
GAUUAACGCUGGCGGCGUGCAUAACACAUGCAAGUCGAACGAUGAAACUUUAAUGAACCCUUCGGGGAGAAUUAAAGCGGAUUAGUGGCGAACGGGUGAGUAACGCGUGAGUAACCUGCCUUACACAAGGGGAUAGCCUUUGGAAACGAAGAAUAAUACCCUAUAAAACCAUAAAAGCACAUGCAAUUAUGGUCAAAGUGAUAGCGGUGUAAGAUGGACUUGCGUCUGAUUAGCUAGUUGGUGAGAUAAAAGCCCACCAAGGCAACGAUCAGUAGCCGGCUUGAGAGAGUGUACGGCCACAUUGGGACUGAGACACGGCCCAGACUCCUACGGGAGGCAGCAGUGGGGAAUUUUGCACAAUGGGGGAAACCCUGAUGCAGCGACGCCGCGUGAUUUAGAAGGCCUUCGGGUUGUAAAAAUCUUUUGUAUAGGAAGAAAAUGACAGUACUAUACGAAUAAGGUCCGACUAAUUACGUG